rnacentral:lncRNA from 10 species
GUUAUUCUGCCAGCCCACAAGAGUCUUGAGAGCUCAAAGGCCCAUCUCUGGGAGGAUACCGAUGGAAGUGUGUCAUGAGGAUCUUAUCACUCAUCUGAGCUCUGCAUGUCACUCAGGCUCCAUACUCGGCUUCCUCUGUUCUGAUGUACAGUGAUAACCCAGGGCAAGGGGUUUCCAGAAAGACAGCACAUACUCUGGCUCAGCAAGUUACUUAAUCUCACUCAACUGGCCCAGCAGCUGGAUUCACGCAAGUCAGGUGGCCUGGAACUGAUCCUCUCUGGUUGUAGAAUUAAAAAUCUGGCAAGGAUUGGAAAGAUAGUUUACUUAAUAGGGCCUCAAGUAUAGGAAAGCAAUUGAAGGGUGAUUGCAGUGAUAGAAUCACUUGAGAGAGGGAGGUAGGGAAACUGUAAGUUACUAUAAAGUUGUGACCUUAUUUUAAACUAGAAAACUUAGUGGUCUCUUAUGUCUUUUGACUUUCAAGCAUUCCUGUGAGAGGGCUGGCAUAAAUGAUUGUUAAUGCUGUUGAUGGGAAAUUUAAAGUAGGAGGAAUCUGCCUACUGGCUUUUAAGAAAAGGUGAUUUCCUGCAAGAUGACCUAAUUGGUUAGGAAACAGAUAAGUGAACCUUCUCUAUGUUCACUUUAAGAGGAAGUUCUAAAAAUUGAGGUGCUCACUCCCUCUCUCUCCUUUUUGAUGAUUGUGAUAUUUAGACCUGCCAAAGCAGUAUAACUUCAUUGUCUGGAAUUUGGUUAAUUCCAAUGCAAAUACAAAAAUCAAAUACGUGAACUGAGCUUUGAAAAUAUUUUCAUUUUUGAGGAUUUUCAUUGUUAUGGGAUUGAGCCUGUAGAAGUCUCUGUGUAAGCUACAUAGAGCAAAUCUAAUCUACUCACACUGAAGUCAGGGCUCUGUAAAAGACUGUGGGAACAUUCAUUCUCCACUCUCUCAGAGACUCUUUUAGAUGGCACUGGCUGAGGCAGAAUGAAUACAGCUGCUGAUUCUGAUCUCACACUGGGUAUAUCCCUGAGUGCUGGAAAAAACAUCACCCUCAGAAGUGUGCAUUCAGCCAGCUGCCUUUGGAGAGAGCUGGGAAGGGUGCAAAGUGGCAUGUCCUUUACCAGUCACUCUUUCUGGGCCAAUGCUUAUCCAGAAAUGAGACAGAACUAUGGGUUUACUGCAAAUGACCAGCAUCCGCAAAGUGAUCAAGACUACCAACUUUGGGUAAUGUGUCCCACAUCUCAGAUGUCAGUUGAUAUAAGACAUUACAGUAAAGAAUUAUGAGUGUUCACUCUGCAAUGAAAAAAUGAACCAGCAGAAGGUGAAUGUGAAAGACUAAGAAGAGCCCUGCAGAAAACCCGUUAGCCCAUGUUUUCAUCUGUAAUGUGGAUGUGGGAUAGGAAGAGGGACAACGACAUAGUACCGACCAGGUUCCAGAAACUAUUCCAAGUGCUUUACGUGAUAAAAAUCUCUUAAUUGUCUCAACGACCAUACGAAGUAUAUCUCUAGUGUUGCCCCUAUUUUAUAGAUGACAAAACCUUACUGAUAUCUGUAUAGCUAGUAAGUAGGAGAGACAGGAUUCAAUCUGUCAGCCCAACUCUGCCGGUGCCCGUGUCCCUGCUCUGUGAUCCUGACAGGCAGCCACAGCCAGGAGUCCGUCCUUGUUUUAGAUAUUUCCCAUGUCUGCUGCUCAACUAGACCCUAACGGUGGAUUCUUGGUACAUCCUUACCCAAGGAUAACCCAUAAGUUUUCAUGACAUUACCACGGACUCGUCUUGCUUGUGAAACCAAGUAAUAGUAAAAACAGAAGAAUCAUGUGUUAAAAAUUUUUUGAAGUAAAUGAUUCUGUCAUCAUUAUUCUUAAAGAAAGUGAUGUACCCAAGGUCACACACUUAGUCACUGGUCAGUCCUGGGGCAAACACCCCUUGAUGUCCAGCCCUUGAGUCAGGAUGAUUGCUUCAUCUAGAAGGCACCAUGGGCACUCUGCCUGAAUCCAGGAACCUCUGGAGUUGUAUAUGGCUCUGUCCAAGACAAAGGAAUCCGCUGUACCAGAUCCACAGAAGCCCUGGCUCUAAAUUAAAAACAGCACAACAACAACAUUGCAGCAACAACAAAAUAGUAAUACAAUAAAAGGUGGGAAGACCUCGAGAGCAUAAAAAUUUCCUUAAACUGAUCAUCAAGGAAAGGAAAGGGAGGAUUCCUUCUUUAAAGAGGCAAGUGCCUGCCAGCAGGAACCUAAAACUCAUUAUUAUUCUGUAUUUUCUUUUUUCAUGACUAAAAAGUUUUUCUAUCCUCCCCCUUCCUAUCCCUAUCAAAAGACUACCCCCUCCACAAGACAAUCACAAACUUUAAAAGUAGCAAGCCCUCACUUCAAACAAAAUGUAAAAAUAAAAAUUCAAAAACCCAUAGUGUUUGCAAAACAGCUUUGUAUGGAGGAAGGGCAAAUCUUAUCUUAAGAGAGGCUAAUUUCAUAGGAAUCGGGCAAAGAGAGGAGAGGUAGAAAGGGUGGGAGCACAGAAGAAGGGGAGGCGGGAGAGGAGGGGAUAAAGGAGGAAGAAUCGCUGGCUUUAAAAAGCAACAUUGUCCAGAGAGGUGAAAG